rnacentral:rRNA from 1 species
GACGAACGCUGGCGGCGUGCUUAACACAUGCAAGUCGAACGGAAAGGCCCUGCUUUUGUGGGGUGCUCGAGUGGCGAACGGGUGAGUAACACGUGAGUAACCUGCCCUUGACUUUGGGAUAACUUCAGGAAACUGGGGCUAAUACCGGAUAGGAGCUCCUGCUGCAUGGUGGGGGUUGGAAAGUUUCGGCGGUUGGGGAUGGACUCGCGGCUUAUCAGCUUGUUGGUGGGGUAGUGGCUUACCAAGGCUUUGACGGGUAGCCGGCCUGAGAGGGUGACCGGCCACAUUGGGACUGAGGUACGGCCCGGACUCCUACGGGAGGCAGCAGUGGGAAAUAUUGCACGAUGGGCGGAAGCCUGAUGCAGCAGCGCCGCGUGCGGGAUGACGGCCUUCGGGUUGUAAACCGCUUUCGCCUGUGACGAAGCGUGAGUGACGGUAAUGGGUAAAGAAGCACCGGCUAACUACGUG